rnacentral:tRNA from 1 species
AGUGGGGUAAGGUAAGAAAGCCGCAAGGGCUCAUGCCCCUUAAGUAGAGGUUCAAAUCCUCUUCCUACUA